CUACGGGAGGCAGCAGUUGAGGAAAUUUUACAAUGCUCGAAAGAGUGAUAGAAUUAGCCAGAGUGUUUCUCACAUGAGAAACUUUUGUUUGUUGUAAAAAGGCAAACGAAUAAGGACUGGGCAAGACCGGUGCCAGCCGCCGCGGUAAUACCGGCGGUCCGAGUCGCAUCCACAUUUAUUGUGGUCUAAAACAUUCGUAGCUUGUUUUGUAAGUCUUUUGUGAAAUCUCAUAUCUCAAGUAUGAGGCGGGCAAGAGGUACUGCAUUACUAGAGACCGGAAGACGUAAGGAGUACGAUUAAGGUAGCGGUAAAAUGUGUUAAUCUUGAUCGGACUAACAAUGGCGAAGGCACCUUACGAGUACGGAUCUGACAGUGAGGGAUGAAGGCUAGGGGCGCAAAAGGGAUUAGAUACCCCUGUAGUC
rnacentral:rRNA from 1 species